rnacentral:tRNA from 1 species
UAGGUUGAAGCCAGUUGAUUAGGGUUUUUAGCUGUUAACUAAAGUUUCGCGAGUUUAAGUCUCGUCAACCUAG